GGGAAUAGAGUUUAGUGGUAGAGUAUUUGCUUAGCAUGCACAAGGCCCUGGGUUCAAUCCCCAGCACUACUA
rnacentral:tRNA from 1 species